rnacentral:rRNA from 1 species
UCCUGGCUCAGGAUGAACGCUAGCGGCAGGCUUAACACAUGCAAGUCGAGGGGCAUCGGGAGUAGCAAUACUUGCCGGCGACCGGCGCAAGGGUGCGUAACGCGUGAGCAACAUGCCCGUAUCAGGGGGAUAAUCCAUGGAAACGUGGUCUAAUACCCCAUAGUAAUUAUGUAAGGCAUCUUAUAUAAUUUAAAGCUUUGGUGGAUACGGAUUGGCUCGCGUGACAUUAGCUAGAUGGUAAGGUAACGGCUUACCAUGGCUACGAUGUCUAAGGGUUCUGAGAGGAAGGUCCCACACACUGAAACUGAGACACGGUCCAGACUCCUACGGGAGGCAGCAGUGAGGAAUAUUGGACAAUGGAUGGAAAUCUGAUCCAGCCAUGCCGCGUGCCAGGAAGACGGCCCUAUGGGUUGUAAACUGCUUUUGUAUGGGAGCAAUAAGGGCUACGCGUAGUCCGAUGAGAGUACCAUACGAAUAAGCACCGGCUAACUCCGUGCCAGCCGCCGC